ACACGUAGGGGCCUGACGUUGUUCGGAAUCAUUGGGCGUAAAGGGCGCGCAGGCGGCCGUCCAAGUCCGGUGUUAAAUGGUCGGGCUCAACCCGAUCAUGCGCUGGAAACUGGGCGGCUUGAGUCCCGUAGGGGAUGCCGGAAUUCCAGGUGUAGGGGUGAAAUCUGUAGAUAUCUGGAAGAACACCGAUGGCGAAAGCAGGCAUCUGGCCGGAGACUGACGCUGAGGCGCGAAGGCGCGGGGAGCGAACAGGUUUAGAUACCCUGGUAGUCCGCGCAGUAAACGAUGCGCACCAGGUGUCGGGCGGCAGCGCCCGGUACCGGAGCUAACGCGAUGAGUGCGCCGCCUGGGGAGUAUGCCCGCAAGGGUGAAACUCAAAGGAAUUGACGGGG
rnacentral:rRNA from 1 species